AUCUCGACGUGUCUUGGGCUCCUCUGGCGCCAAAAUGUCGCUCGUAGCGGGGGUUAUUCGGCGGCUGGACGAAACAGUGGUGAACCGCAUCGCGGCAGGGGAAGUCAUCCAGCGGCCGGCCAACGCCAUCAAGGAGAUGAUUGAGAACUGCUUAGAUGCAAAAGCCACCAGCAUCCAAGUGGUUGUUAAAGAGGGAGGCCUCAAGUUGAUUCAGAUCCAAGACAAUGGCACUGGGAUCCGGAAAGAAGAUCUGGAUAUUGUGUGUGAGAGGUUCACUACAAGUAAACUGCAGUCCUUUGAGGAUUUAGCUAGUAUUUCUACCUAUGGCUUUCGGGGUGAGGCUUUGGCCAGCAUCAGCCAUGUGGCUCACGUUACUAUUACAACCAAAACAGCUGAUGCAAAGUGCGCAUACAGAGCAAGUUACUCAGAUGGAAAGCCGACAGCUCCUCCUAAACCAUGUGCAGGCAAUCAGGGGACCCAGAUUACGGUGGAAGAUCUCUUUUACAACAUAUCCACAAGGAGGAAAGCUUUAAAAAAUCCGAGUGAAGAGUAUGGGAAAAUUUUGGAAGUUGUUGGCAGGUAUUCAAUACACAAUUCAGGCAUUGGUUUCUCAGUUAAAAAACAAGGCGAGACAGUGGCUGACGUUAGAACACUGCCCAGUGCCACGACUGUAGACAAUAUUCGCUCCAUCUUUGGAAAUGCUGUUAGCCGAGAACUGAUAGAAGUCGGGUGUGAGGAUAAAACCCUAGCCUUCAAAAUGAACGGCUUUAUAUCCAAUGCAAAUUACUCCGUGAAGAAGUGCAUCUUCUUACUCUUCAUCAACCAUCGUCUGGUAGAGUCAACUUCCUUAAGAAAAGCCAUUGAAACCGUGUAUGCAGCCUAUUUGCCCAAAAACACACACCCGUUCCUGUACCUCAGUUUGGAGAUCAGCCCCCAGAACGUGGAUGUCAACGUGCACCCCACAAAGCACGAGGUUCACUUCCUACACGAGGACAGCAUCCUGGAGCGGGUGCAACAGCACAUUGAGAGCAAGCUCCUGGGCUCCAACUCGUCCAGGAUGUACUUCACCCAGACUUUACUCCCAGGUCUUGCUGGCCCCUCUGGGGAGGUGGUUAAGGCCACAAUGGGUGUGCCCCCCUCAUCAACUUCUGGAAGCGGCGACAAGGUCUAUGCUCACCAGAUGGUCCGCACAGAUUCGCGGGAACAGAAGCUCGAUGCGUUUAUGCAGCCUGUGAGCAAGGCUCUGUCCGGUCAGCCUCAGGCCGUGGUCCCGGAAGAUGGGCCUGAGGCUUCCAGCGGCAGGGCCAGGCAGCAGGAUGAGGAAAUGCUCGAACUCCCGGAGCCUGCUGCAGUGGCUGCCACAAAUCAGGGCUUGGAGGGGGAUGCAACAGAGGGGACUUCGCAAGCGUCGGAGAAGAGAGGGCCCCCUUCCAGCCCAGGUAACCCCAGAAAGAAGCCCCGGGAAAGCUCUGAUGUGGAAAUGGUGGAAGAUGAUUCCCGGAAGGAAAUGACAGCAGCUUGUACUCCCCGGAGAAGGAUCAUCAACCUCACCAGUGUCCUGAGCCUCCAGGAAGAAAUUAAUGAGCGGGGACAUGAGACUCUCCGAGAGAUGUUGCACAACCACUCCUUCGUGGGCUGCGUGAAUCCUCAGUGGGCCUUGGCACAGCAUCAGACCAAGCUAUACCUUCUCAACACCACCAAACUUAGUGAAGAACUGUUCUACCAGAUACUCAUUUAUGAUUUUGCCAAUUUUGGUGUUCUGAGGCUGUCGGAGCCAGCGCCGCUCUUUGACCUGGCCAUGCUCGCCUUGGACAGCCCCGAGAGUGGCUGGACAGAGGAGGAUGGCCCCAAAGAAGGACUUGCUGAGUACAUUGUUGAGUUUCUGAAGAAGAAGGCUGAGAUGCUUGCGGACUAUUUCUCCUUGGAGAUCGAUGAGGAAGGGAACCUGAUUGGAUUACCCCUGCUGAUCGACAACUACGUGCCCCCUUUGGAGGGCCUGCCUCUCUUCGUUCUUCGACUAGCCACCGAGGUGAACUGGGAUGAAGAAAAGGAAUGUUUUGAAAGCCUCAGCAAAGAGUGUGCUAUGUUUUACUCCAUUCGGAAGCAGUAUGUAUGUGAGGAGUCGACCCUCUCAGGCCAGCAGAGUGACGCGCCCGGCUCCUCAGCAAACCCCUGGAAGUGGACUGUGGAACACAUCGUCUAUAAAGCCUUCCGCUCACACCUUCUGCCUCCUAAACGUUUCACGGAAGAUGGAAAUAUCCUACAGCUUGCCAACCUGCCCGAUCUAUACAAAGUCUUCGAGAGAUGUUAAGCACCGUCACUCUUGGACUCGGGGGUGUGCGGUUCCUGCACUGUGUCCUGACGAGGAGCUUCUACAGAGAUCCAACUGCAGAGACACCCAACCCAAAGAAACCUAGGUACUCCUGGAGUCGGCCACUUAGAUGUUGCAAAGGGACUUUAAAUCUCUCGCCACCAUACUGAGAAGGUACUUACAUUUUGUUCCAACGUGGUUAUAUCCUGUUCUGCUUUUGAAAGCUUAAAUUUGUAUUCACUAAUUUGUCUAUUGGCAUCUCCUAGAACAGAAGAAGAGAAUGAAUCCUCUCCCGGAGGGAGUGAAGGUGUGACCCAUGAGGCGCUGACACCCGCUGCAGCCCGGGAGAGGACGAUGCAGUCUCCAAGACAGACACGAAUGCCCGCAGGGCAGCCACAGCAUCUCCAGCGGCCCGGGCCCUAGAACGAGUCUCCUGCGAGAAGCUCCGGCACCGAUCCAAGCCUCCCUUGGACCGGGGUGAAGAAAAUGUAUCCUUCACCCCACGAUGUGCGUAGGCUGAACGUGGAGCAAGGAGCCCUGUCGGUGCCUCAGUGGCCCUGCCAACCUUGACCUGCUGACCCCCGUCCAGGAGCCUCCAGUUUCCUGUACCUUCCCGCCUCCCGGGUUCCCUCCUGCUGCCACACCUCGGGUGCCCCGCUCUCCCACCACUGACUGAAGUCCCCAGCAACCUCCGUCAUGACUCUCCUUAGUCAACUGUGACUUCUUCCCUGUCGCUUUGAUUUGCACUGUCUUUUCUAACACUGAUCAUGCCUCUGAACGCGGGCCCUGGCUCCGCCUCCCUCGGUCUAUCUGCGUCUUGCCGAGGGCUCUGUGCGUGUGCUUAAUAAACAUUUGCUGAAAGAAAUGCUUUUCAAUAACAUGUGGGUAAUGUGAUGGGUCGACUUCUAAAUCAUUACUUGUAUUUCUGACCUAAGCAGCACAUCAUUUAAAACAAGAAGUUUAGAAAUUCCCUCCAGCAAACCAAAUUUAACAAAAAUCACUCGCCGAGGACCGAGCGAUCUUUGUAACAUGGCUCCUCUCGAGAAACGCCAUCCCCGGGCCGGCGGCCUGCUCGCAACCCCCCCGCCUAGAACACAGCCUCCCUGCCCGUGGCGCCGGCCCGGCCCCGGGACCUACUCUGCAUGUCGAUGAACUGCAGGUCUGAACCGUUGUGCAGCCCCGCCAGGUCGGCCGCCGUGCUCUCGCUGCGGGAGCACCUCUGCCGCUCUUCCUCCAGCUGCAGCUUCAGCCUCCGGAUCUGCGGCGGAAGGAGGGGUCCGUCACAAGAUCCGAAGGACACCGCGGGCCCUCACCGGCCACACGGGUCGUGCACCCAGAACCGGAGUGCCCACCGCGGGGGCCACACUGCCGGAGGCGCUGGCGACAAGCUGUAAAGCAGCGUCAGAAGGAGCCCGCCCCAGGACCAGGAGUGCCGAUCGCAGCAGCCCCAUCGUGUGUAGGCGGCUGCAACAGGUCUUUUCAGUGUUCUUCACUACUUUCAUCAAAUUGCUUUUUUGUUUUUAACUCUCUUAUUUAUCUUGAGAGAGAGCGAGAGCGAGCGAGUGCAUGCACAAGCGGGGGAGGGCCAGAGAGAACCCCAAGCGGCUUCUGCGCUCUGUGCUACGCCCAACGCGGGGCUUGAUCUCACAGACCGGGGGAGAGAUCAUGACCGGAGCUGAAAUCAAGAGUUGGGCGCCCAACCAACUGAGCCACCCAGGCACCCCUAAAAUUCCAUUUUUAAUAAAAUUCCAAGGGGAGUUAGAUGCUUUUGCUUUGUCUUAGAAUUAGGUUACAUAUUCUACGUUAAGUAUUCAGGAAACUUAAAUAUUAAAACAAAUUCAUAUUAAAUAUUAAAAUUGAGAAGUACAUUUAAUUAAUAUAUUAAAUUAGGUAUUCCAUAUUAACAUUAAAA